ACUCAAAUGAAUAGACGGGGACCCGCACAAGCAGCGGAGCAUGUGGUUUAAUUCGAAGCAACGCGAAGAACCUUACCAAGACUUGACAUCGCCUGACCGCCCUAGAGAUAGGGUUUUGUAGCAAUACACAGGUAGACAGGUGGUGCAUGGUUGUCGUCAGCUCGUGUCGUGAGAUGUUCGGUUAAGUCCGGCAACGAGCGCAACCCCUAUGAUAUGUUGCCAAUAUUAAGUUAGGAACUCAUAUCAGACUGCCGUGGACAACACGGAGGAAGGCGGGGAUGACGUCAAAUCAUCAUGCCCCUUACGUCUUGGGCUACACACGCGCUACAAUGGCUGUUACAAAGAGCAGCGAGCCGGCAACGGUAAGCGAAUCUCAAAAAAACAGUCUCAGUUCAGAUUGUGGGCUGCAACCCGCCCACAUGAAGCAGGAGUUGCUAGUAAUCCCGAAUCAGAAUGUCGGGGUGAAUGCGUUCCCGGGUCUUGUACACACCGCCCGU
rnacentral:rRNA from 1 species